UUAAGGGGGCUCCUGGGUAUAAAUCAAUUUUUUUUUCUAAUAUAGGAUUUCGCUAUAUCUUUUUAUAAAUAAACUUUAUCAUAUACUUAAAAGAAAAAUGAAAUAAAAAAAAAAUGGGGUCACCGUUCAUUUAAGCUCACAAUCUGCCUCCGGAAGAAGCAUACAUUUUUGUUAAUGUCCUUUUUUACUGUUGAACUAAUAGGAGAAAUAGAGGUAAUAUCGAAAUAAAAAAAAUAACCUAAUUACAGAAAUCGCUUAAAUUUUACAAUCAUUUAGUUUAUGUACAGCUUAUUUGAAAACAAUAGUAAAAAAUAUAGGUCACCGA
rnacentral:lncRNA from 1 species